UACAGAGACUGCGAGCGUUAUUCGGAUUCACUGGGCGUAAAGGGUGCGCAGGCGGCCGUGUGUGUGAGGCGUGAAAGCCUGGAGCUUAACUCCAGAAUUGCACCUCAAACUACAUGGCUAGAGCAUUGGAGAGGGUAGCGGAAUUCACGGUGUAGCAGUGAAAUGCGUAGAUAUCUGGAGGAACACCGGUGGCGAAGGCGGCAUCCUGGACCAACACUGACACUGAGGAGCGAAAGCCAGGGGAGCAAACGGG
rnacentral:rRNA from 1 species